rnacentral:rRNA from 1 species
AUUGUGCGCUGGCGGCUGGCUUACGCAUGCAAGUCGAGCGGUAGCAGGGGGUGCUUGCACCCCGCUGACGAGCGGCGGACGGGUGAGUGAUGCAUAGGAUACUGCCCAGUGGUGGGGGAUAGCCCGGGGAAACCCGGAUUAAUACCGCGUACGCCCUUCGGGGGAAAGCAGGGGAUCUUCGGACCUUGCGCUAUUGGAUGUGCCUAUGUCAGAUUAUCUAGUUGGUGGGGUAAAGGCCUACCAAGGCGACGAUCCGUAUCUGGUCUGAGAGGAUGAUCAGCCACAUCGGGACUGAGACACGGCCCGAACUCCUACGGGAGGCAGCAGUGGGGAAUAUUGGACAAUGGGGGCAACCCUGAUCCAGCCAUGCCGCGUGUGUGAAGAAGGCUUUCGGGUUGUAAAGCACUUUCAGUGAAGAGGAAAACUCUGCGACUAAUACUCGUAGGGCUUGACGUUACUCACAGAAGAAGCACCGGCUAACUCCGUGCCAGCAGCCGCGGUAAUACGGAGGGUGCAAGCGUUAAUCGGAAUUACUGGGCGUAAAGCGCGCGUAGGUGGUUUGAUAAGCGAGAUGUGAAAGCCCCGGGCUUAACCUGGGAACGGCAUUUCGAACUGUCAGGCUAGAGUAUGGUAGAGGGUAGUGGAAUUUCCUGUGUAGCGCUGAAAUGUGUAGAUAUAGGAAGGAACACCAGAGGCGAAGGCGGGUACAUGGAGCAAUAUUGACACUGAGGUGUGAGAGAGCGGGGAGCAAACACGAGAAGAUACCCCGGUAGUGCACGCGGUAAAAGAGAUGUAUUAGCCGUGGGGAGUCUUGAAGUGUUAGAGGCGCAGAUAACGCACUAAGUAGACCGCGUGGGGAGUACGGCCGCAAGAUUAAAAAUCAAAAGAAUAGACGGGGGGCCGCACAAGAGGUGGAGCACGUGGUGUAUUUUGAGGCAACGCGAGGAGCACUACAUGGCCCCGACACGCAGAGAGAAUUCCAGAGAGAGAGAGGUGCGUUCUGGAAAUCUGACACAGAUGUUGCACGGCGGUGUUCUGAUCGUGUGUUGAGAGAUGGGGGUAAGUCUCGUAAAGAGAGCAAAACCUAUCUCUAGAUGUGAGCACAUCGGGUGAGAAAUCUAGGGAGAGAGCCGGGGACAAACCGGAGGAAGAGGGGGAGGAGGUCAGGUCUUCUCGGGCCCUACGGCCACGGGUACACACAUGUUACACAGGUGUGCACAGAGGGGUGCAAAACGCGAGGGGGAGACACUAUCUCACAAAGCAUAGUAGUAGUGGAUGAGCACUGUGCAAAUACUAGUGCGUGAAGUAGUAAGAAUUGGUAGUAAUGAAUAAGAAGAACAUGGCGAAGAAGAUGCUGGCCGUCGUACACCACACCGGUCGCCCCACCAGAGGAGAUGGCACCAGAAGAAGUGGUUUGUCUAUCGGGAGGGAGAUCGACCCGCAGCGGUUCAGGACAGGAGGAAGUUGAAGUAGUAACAAGGUAGCCG